GGGCGAGUGGCGGAAUUGGUAGACGCGCUAGGUUCAGGGUCUAGUGGCCGCAAGGCCGUGGGAGUUCGAGUCUCCCCUCGCCCA
rnacentral:tRNA from 1 species